AACGAACGCUGGCGGCAGGCCUAACACAUGCAAGUCGAACGCCGUAGCAAUACGGAGUGGCAGACGGGUGAGUAACACGUGGGAACAUACCCUUCGGUUCGGAAUAACUCAGGGAAACUUGAGCUAAUACCGGAUACGUCCGCGAGGAGAAAGAUUCAUCGCCGGAGGAUUGGCCCGCGUCUGAUUAGCUUGUUGGUGAGGUAAUGGCUCACCAAGGCGACGAUCAGUAGCUGGCUGAGAGGAUGAUCAGCCACAUUGGGACUGAGACACGGCCCAAACUCCUACGGGAGGCAGCAGUGGGGAAUAUUGGACAAUGGGCGCAAGCCUGAUCCAGCCAUGCCGCGUGAGUGAUGAAGGCCCUAGGGUUGUAAAGCUCUUUUACCCGGGAAGAUAAUGACUGUACCGGGAGAAUAAGCCCCGGCUAACUUCGUGCCAGCCGCCGCAGUAAG
rnacentral:rRNA from 1 species